AUUGAACGCUGGCGGCAUGCCUUACACAUGCAAGUCGAACGGUAACGUGCCUUCGGGUGCCGACGAGUGUCGAACGGGUGAGUAAUACAUCGGAACGUGCCCGAUCGUGGUGGAUAACGAGGCGAAAGCUUUGCUAAUACCUCAUACGAUCUACGGAUGAAAGCAGGGGACCGCAAGGCCUUGCGCGGACGGUGCGGCCGAUGGCAGAUUAGGUAGUUGGUGGGAUAAAGGCUUACCAAGCCGACGAUCUGUAGCUGGUCUGAGAGGAUGAUCAGCCACACUGGGACUGAGACACGGCCCAGACUCCUACGGGAGGCAGCAGUGGGGAAUUUUGGACAAUGGGCGCAAGCCUGAUCCAGCCAUGCCGCGUGCAGGAUGAAGGCCUUCGGGUUGUAAACUGCUUUUGUACGGAACGAAAAGCCUUCUUUUAAUACAGGAGGGUCAUGACGGUACCGUAAGAAUAAGCACCGGCUAACUACGUG
rnacentral:rRNA from 1 species